ACUCAGUCUUUUAUUUGGUAUGAAGAGAGCAUUGGUAGAAGAAGUUGAGGUUUCACCAUAAAACCUAUUGGUAAUAUGGGAAGUAAUCAUACUCUUUAUAAGCCCUUGCAAGGCUUGUUCUAUCACCCAUGUAGGAUUUUGUAAUUCACAUUCUCGCAUACUCAUCAUGUAUGAAGGAUAUUCAAGUCAAUUACGUGGGGAACGAAACUUCAAUGUCUUUUUCUUUAACAUGAGUGAAACUUUCAUACUAUAAUAUGUGAUAUCAUGCUUCAAAUGAGUGGAAAUCAUUAGAUCAUUGCUCGACUCUUGAUAACAAGAUUAGUCCACCCUUGUACAUAUUUGUGUGUGUGUCUGUGUGUGUGAUGGUAUAAAAUAACAGAGGUUCUUCAAGUUAAUGAACGAAAAAAAGUGAUGAAUGAUGAUAUUCUUGUGUGGUUGAGUCCUUACUAAGUGUAUGGAUUCUAACAAACAACAUGAUGUGAAAAAUAAGUUAACACACAAAAUUAAACCCUCUUUUUAUCAAAUGUAGUAAAGUAUGUAAGUAGGGAUCGUUCUAGGCCGGGGAUUAGGAGGGAUUGCUAAACACUUGAAAACUGACUUAAAAACAUAAAAAAAAAAUUUAAAACACUAAACUAGACUCAAAGAAUGCAAAACUAUACUUUAAAAUACUUAAACAAACAUAAAACUCAAAACAGCAACCUAAUGACUCAAAACUGCCUAAAAACCACUUUCUGGGCAGUUUUGAGAACCUAACAAGAACUUGGACGAAGUUGGAUGAAAACUUGAAUCAAAACACUUAGAAACACAAAUCAAAACACUUUCUAACUAAUCUAAGACUUCAAAAUAAAGGGGGAUUUGUUUUGGACAAAAAUUGAAAACAAAACAGAAACUUAAAACAAAACAGAUUGUAAAACGUUUUUGGAUGAAAAGGAUGGAUAAAAGGCUAGUUAUGAGGUUCUUCUCCACACAUGACACACUUGCAAACAAAAUGAUUUUCAGUUGUUCUUUCAAUAAAUU
rnacentral:lncRNA from 1 species